UGUCUGCAGUUACAGCUCCGUUAAUAAAAUUGCUGAAAAUUUAUCAAAUCAGUAGAAAACUCUUACAAACAAGUGAAAAUCAUUCCUCGAGGCAGUCAUGAUUUCUGCUAGUACAUCAUGCUACAUAGUUGACGCUGAUGAUGUUCUUUGCGUUCGAGUUUCCAUGCGGCUUCUAGAAAACGUUUCGGUUUUCCAUCGCAGGAGUGUAUACUGAGUAUUUACUGUUCUUGCUAUUAUUUCUCUUUGUUCUUAAAUUUUGUGGCUGUUCCCAGAUGACUUUCCAAAGUCACUUACAAGAUGUCCACUCACAAGAUUAGCCAUACUUUCCCAAGAAUGGGAACAGGUUUGAACAUUGCUGCAAAGUUUUUACAAUGUUUCUAAUUAUUUUUAAAUUUUCUGUUACUAAUUGUUCUUUCUGCUUGUCUUUCAGGUACAUAUUCGAUAUAUUUGGGCAUUUUUGUAAUUCGGGCGCGUUCGUUAUCGGUUUAUGUACUUUUUAUGUUUACUAAUACCUCACACCUUCCAGUUUUAACUAAUUACCUCUUCAUAUUUUUUAAAUUAUUCAAUUCAAGGUCAUUUUAUAAAUUAAUUAAAAGACUUAUCCUGUUUAAGUUUAACAAUCCUACAAAAUUUAAAACAUUUCUUGCUUUUCUUUAUUUGUUUUCAAAUAUUUUUCUAAUUAAGCUGUUCUAGUUUAUUCUUUUAAAAGUUUUUGUAGUUCAGAAUAAUCACCCAAUCCUCCUUACACAUUCUUGUUAAUAAUUGUUUUUAUUCACAGGUAUAAGUGAUAAACGUUAUUCGUGAGAUACCUGGAGAGGUGUACCGAAAUACUCAUCGAGUGCGGGUCGCGACGCGGUUGACUAUUUUAACCAUUUUAUAGAAUCUCGAUCAAUUAGUUACCGAAGGAGGGUCGUGCCUUGUCUCCUUUCACCUGUUAGGGAAAGUACGCGGUGUUUAUAAAAAUGUAUCCGAAUAUUCGACAAAUCGAGUGCGGGACACGAUAAAAAAUCCGAAAGUAUCGCGUAAUCCGUAUUGCACUUUUAAAGUGCGCGUUAAAAAUAAUUCCAAUUCCAUGAGGGUUUGUACGGGACCUCAACGGACUUCAAGCAUCCUACCAGCGGUUUGGACUCAAGAUUGUAUUAUAAUAUCAACGCCUUAAGUAACUAACAUCAUUGACAACCCAUUGGGUUGGCGGAGGCGGCAACCCAAUCAUCGAACCGUUGUCCACCAUAUCCUGCCUUCCAUCAUUUGAAGAUGGUGGAGGAGGCAGAGGAGAAGAAUUGUCGUUAAUGAUAGCAUAAUCUGGUUGGGCUCUCAUUGCACGCAUAUCACCUACUCUCAUGGUUUCCAUUCCACUAUACACGGAUCCAACCUCUUUAAUCCACAAAAAACAAAGAGCUGGACCAUUGCUUGUAUACCACCAGCAUCACGCACUUCCUUCUUGGCUCCUUCCAGGAAUGUCAAAAGAUUGUGUAAGGUUG